rnacentral:rRNA from 1 species
UACGAAGGGGGCUAGCGUUGUUCGGAAUUACUGGGCGUAAAGCGUGCGUAGGCGGUUUGUUAAGUCUGCUGUGAAAUCCCCGGGCUCAACCUGGGAAUGGCAGUGGAUACUGGCAAGCUAGAGUGUGUCAGAGGAUGGUGGAAUUCCCGGUGUAGCGGUGAAAUGCGUAGAGAUCGGGAGGAACAUCAGUGGCGAAGGCGGCCAUCUGGGACAACACUGACGCUGAGGCACGAAAGCGUGGGGAGCAAACAGG